CAGGUAUUCUUGCAAGAGUGAAGGGGUUGGAGCCUCAUACACGGACAUAGAAAGUCACAUCAGACAGAGGCAGGGACUGCAGGGACAGAGCCACAAGCCGAGGACACUGCCACCCCCAGCAGCCGGAAGAGGAAGGAACCCGCUCUGUCCUAGAGCCUCUUCGGAAUAUGAAGAGAGUGUCAGUUCCACCAGUCUACACCCUGAGACAAGCAGAGCAGCUGAGGCCAUGCAGGAUCUAAAGACCAGACGAGACCAAGAUGUCACUGAGCCACCC
rnacentral:lncRNA from 1 species